GGCUCAGGAUGAACGCUGGCGGCGUGCCUAAUACAUGCAAGUCGAGCGAACGGACGAGAAGCUUGCUUCUCUGAUGUUAGCGGCGGACGGGUGAGUAACACGUGGAUAACCUACCUAUAAGACUGGGAUAACUUCGGGAAACCGGAGCUAAUACCGGAUAAUAUUUUGAACCGCAUGGUUCAAAAGUGAAAGACGGUCUUGCUGUCACUUAUAGAUGGAUCCGCGCUGCAUUAGCUAGUUGGUAAGGUAACGGCUUACCAAGGCAACGAUGCAUAGCCGACCUGAGAGGGUGAUCGGCCACACUGGAACUGAGACACGGUCCAGACUCCUACGGGAGGCAGCAGUAGGGAAUCUUCCGCAAUGGGCGAAAGCCUGACGGAGCAACGCCGCGUGAGUGAUGAAGGUCUUCGGAUCGUAAAACUCUGUUAUUAGGGAAGAACAUAUGUGUAAGUAACUGUGCACAUCUUGACGGUACCUAAUCAGAAAGCCACGGCUAACUACGUGCCAGCAGCCGCGGUAAUACGUAGGUGGCAAGCGUUAUCCGGAAUUAUUGGGCGUAAAGCGCGCGUAGGCGGUUUUUUAAGUCUGAUGUGAAAGCCCACGGCUCAACCGUGGAGGGUCAUUGGAAACUGGAAAACUUGAGUGCAGAAGAGGAAAGUGGAAUUCCAUGUGUAGCGGUGAAAUGCGCAGAGAUAUGGAGGAACACCAGUGGCGAAGGCGACUUUCUGGUCUGUAACUGACGCUGAUGUGCGAAAGCGUGGGGAUCAAACAGGAUUAGAUACCCUGGUAGUCCACGCCGUAAACGAUGAGUGCUAAGUGUUAGGGGGUUUCCGCCCCUUAGUGCUGCAGCUAACGCAUUAAGCACUCCGCCUGGGGAGUACGACCGCAAGGUUGAAACUCAAAGGAAUUGACGGGGACCCGCACAAGCGGUGGAGCAUGUGGUUUAAUUCGAAGCAACGCGAAGAACCUUACCAAAUCUUGACAUCCUUUGACAACUCUAGAGAUAGAGCCUUCCCCUUCGGGGGACAAAGUGACAGGUGGUGCAUGGUUGUCGUCAGCUCGUGUCGUGAGAUGUUGGGUUAAGUCCCGCAACGAGCGCAACCCUUAAGCUUAGUUGCCAUCAUUAAGUUGGGCACUCUAAGUUGACUGCCGGUGACAAACCGGAGGAAGGUGGGGAUGACGUCAAAUCAUCAUGCCCCUUAUGAUUUGGGCUACACACGUGCUACAAUGGACAAUACAAAGGGCAGCGAAACCGCGAGGUCAAGCAAAUCCCAUAAAGUUGUUCUCAGUUCGGAUUG
rnacentral:rRNA from 1 species